GAUGAACGCUGGCGGCGUGCCUAAUACAUGCAAGUCGAGCGAACAGACGAGGAGCUUGCUCCUCUGACGUUAGCGGCGGACGGGUGAGUAACACGUGGAUAACCUACCUAUAAGACUGGGAUAACUUCGGGAAACCGGAGCUAAUACCGGAUAAUAUAUUGAACCGCAUGGUUCAAUAGUGAAAGACGGUUUUGCUGUCACUUAUAGAUGGAUCCGCGCCGCAUUAGCUAGUUGGUAAGGUAACGGCUUACCAAGGCAACGAUGCGUAGCCGACCUGAGAGGGUGAUCGGCCACACUGGAACUGAGACACGGUCCAGACUCCUACGGGAGGCAGCAGUAGGGAAUCUUCCGCAAUGGGCGAAAGCUUGACGGAGCAACGCCGCGUAAGUGAUGAAGGUCUUCGGAUCGUAAAACUCUGUUAUUAGGGAAGAACAAAUGUGUAAGUAACUAUGCACGUCUUGACGGUACCUAAUCAGAAAGCCACGGCUAACUACGU
rnacentral:rRNA from 1 species